AUGUAGGGCAAUCUGUCUUUAGGUAGGGAUAAAUUACUCUAAAAGAAAUGAAUUCUAGAUAGUUUUCCCUUCAAGUGUCUUGU
rnacentral:pre_miRNA from 1 species